GUGCAGCAGUCGAGAAAACUUCACACUGUGCGAAAGCACGAUGAGGGAAUCCCAAGUGCUUGCACGUAAGUGUAAGCUGUUUCUCUGUCUAAAACGCAGAGAGAGUAAGGGCUGGGUAAGACGGGUGCCAGCCGCCGCGGUAAUACCUGCAGCUCAAGCGGUGACCGUUAUUAUUGGGCCUAAAACGUCCGUAGCCGGUUUAAUAAAUGCCUGGGUAAAUUGUGUAGCUUAACUAUACGAAUUCCGGGUAGACUGUUAAACUUGAGACCGGGAGAAGUUAGAGGUACUCCUGGGGUAGAGGUGAAAAUUCUGUAAUCCUAGGGGGACCACCAGUGGCGAAGGCGUCUAACUAGAACGGGUCUGACGGUGAGGGACGAAGCCCU
rnacentral:rRNA from 1 species